AGAGUUUGAUCCUGGCUCAGAUUGAACGCUGGCGGCAUGCCUUACACAUGCAAGUCGAGCGGCAGCACGGGAGCAAUCCUGGUGGCGAGUGGCGAACGGGUGAGUAAUAUAUCGGAACGUGCCCAGUUGUGGGGGAUAGCCCGGCGAAAGCCGGAUUAAUACCGCAUACGACCUGAGGGUGAAAGCGGGGGAUCGCAAGACCUCGCGCAAUUGGAGCGGCCGAUAUCAGAUUAGCUAGUUGGUGGGGUAAAAGCCUACCAAGGCGACGAUCUGUAGCUGGUCUGAGAGGACGACCAGCCACACUGGGACUGAGACACGGCCCAGACUCCUACGGGAGGCAGCAGUGGGGAAUUUUGGACAAUGGGCGCAAGCCUGAUCCAGCCAUGCCGCGUGCGGGAAGAAGGCCUUCGGGUUGUAAACCGCUUUUGUCAGGGAAGAAACGGUCUGACCUAAUACGUUGGACUAAUGACGGUACCUGAAGAAUAAGCACCGGCUAACUACGUGCCAGCAGCCGCGGUAAUACGUAGGGUGCAAGCGUUAAUCGGAAUUACUGGGCGUAAAGCGUGCGCAGGCGGUUAUGCAAGACAGAUGUGAAAUCCCCGGGCUCAACCUGGGAACUGCAUUUGUGACUGCAUGGCUAGAGUACGGUAGAGGGGGAUGGUCAUUCCGCGUGUAGCAGUGAAAUGCGUAGAUAUG
rnacentral:rRNA from 1 species